GUUUGAUCCUGGCUCAGGACGAACGCCGGCGGCGUGCUUAACACAUGCAAGUCGAGCGGUAAGGCCCCUUCGGGGGUACACGAGCGGCGAACGGGUGAGUAAUGCAUCGGAACGUACCGUGUAAUGGGGGAUAACGUAGCGAAAGUUACGCUAAUACCGCAUACGCCCUGAGGGGGAAAGUGGGGGACCGCAAGGCCUCACGUUAUACGAGCGGCCGAUGUCGGAUUAGCUAGUUGGUGGGGUAAAGGCCUACCAAGGCGACGAUCCGUAGCGGGUCUGAGAGGAUGAUCCGCCACACUGGGACUGAGACACGGCCCAGACUCCUACGGGAGGCAGCAGUGGGGAAUUUUGGACAAUGGGCGCAAGCCUGAUCCAGCCAUGCCGCGUGAGUGAAGAAGGCCUCGG
rnacentral:rRNA from 1 species